rnacentral:rRNA from 1 species
UACGGGGGGGGGCAAGCGUUGUUCGGAAUUACUGGGCGUAAAGGGCGCGUAGGCGGCUCGCUAAGUCGGGUGUGAAAACUCUGGGCUCAACCCCAGAGCCUGCAUUCGAAACUGUCGAGCUAGAGUUCUGGAGGGGAAAGCGGAAUUCCUGGUGUAGCGGUGAAAUGCGUAGAUAUCAGGAGGAACACCGGUGGCGAAGGCGGCUUUCUGGACAGAAACGUGACGCUGAGGCGCGAAAGCUAGGGGAGCAAACAGG